rnacentral:rRNA from 1 species
UACGGGGGGGGCAAGCGUUGUUCGGAAUUACUGGGCGUAAAGGGCUUGUAGGUGGCCAACUAAGUCAGACGUGAAAUCCCUCGGCUUAACCGGGGAACUGCGUCUGAUACUGGAUGGCUUGAGUGCGGGAGAGGGAUGCGGAAUUCCAGGUGUAGCGGUGAAAUGCGUAGAUAUCUGGAGGAACACCGGUGGCGAAGGCGGCAUCCUGGACCAUUACUGACACUGAAAAGCGAAAGCCAGGGGAGCAAACGGG